rnacentral:tRNA from 1 species
CGCACAGUAGAGCAGUUCGGCAGCUCGCCUGGCUCAUAACCAGGAGGUCACGGGUUCAAAUCCCGUCUGUGCAA